AUGGAGAAAUACUGCGCAACAAAUUUGAAUAGUCUCUCUCUCUCUCUCUCUCUCUCUCUCUCUCUCUCUCUCUCUCUCUCACACACACUCACACACACUCACACACACACGAAUUCCUUUCAGUACCAUAAACAGCACCAGAACAGUUUCUCUGGUCCAAAUCUCCAUGUGGUGGCGCCCUUCUACAAAAAAAUGUGCGACGUUUGGCCAGAUGCUUCUGCUAUUGGAGUUGGUCAGCGGGUGGCACCAGAGAGCAGGGGGAGCCGAGUCACCAGCCUAACCAGUACCAUUAAAACCAGCAUCACCAGCCAAACCAAUACCAGCAGAACCAGUAUCCUUACCAGAACUACUACCGCAGCCUCCUGCCCUGAGGCCCAGCUCAGGAUCCAAGUGGACCAGGUACUGUCCCUCCCUCUUUCCGCCUCUCUCCUUUCAUCCGUUUUUGGUCUCUUUUUCCCUAUUUUCACUACAUUUCACUCCAUCUGACAUCUCCUAUUCAACUUCUCUCCAUUUUUCAAGGGUGCUUAUUCCUGUUCA
rnacentral:lncRNA from 1 species